UGGGGAAUUUUGGACAAUGGGGGAAACCCUGAUCCAGCCAUCCCGCGUGUGCGAUGAAGGCCUUCGGGUUGUAAAGCACUUUUGGCAGGAAAGAAACGUCAUGGGUUAAUACCCCGUGAAACUGACGGUACCUGCAGAAUAAGCACCGGCUAACUACGUGCCAGCAGCCGCGGUAAUACGUAGGGUGCAAGCGUUAAUCGGAAUUACUGGGCGUAAAGCGUGCGCAGGCGGUUCGGAAAGAAAGAUGUGAAAUCCCAGAGCUCAACUUUGGAACUGCAUUUUUAACUACCGGGCUAGAGUGUGUCAGAGGGAGGUGGAAUUCCGCGUGUAGCAGUGAAAUGCGUAGAUAUGCGGAGGAACACCGAUGGCGAAGGCAGCCUCAUGGGAUAACACUGACGCUAAUGCACGAAAGCGUGGGGAGCAAACAGG
rnacentral:rRNA from 1 species